rnacentral:rRNA from 1 species
AUUGAACGCUGGCGGCAGGCCUAACACAUGCAAGUCGAACGGUAGCACAGAGAGCUUGCUCUCGGGUGACGAGUGGCGGACGGGUGAGUAACGUCUGGGAAACUGCCCGAUGGAGGGGGAUAACUACUAGAAACGGUAGCUAAUACCGCAUAACGUCGCAAGACCAAAGUGGGGGACCUUCGGGCCUCACACCAUCGGAUGUGCCCAGAUGGGAUUAGCUAGUAGGUGGGGUAAUGGCUCACCUAGGCGACGAUCCCUAGCUGGUCUGAGAGGAUGACCAGCCACACUGGAACUGAGACACGGUCCAGACUCCUACGGGAGGCAGCAGUGGGGAAUAUUGCACACUGGGCGCAAGCCUGAUGCAGCCAUGCCGCGUGUAUGAAGAAGGCCUUCGGGUUGUAAAGUACUUUCAGCGGGGAGGAAGGCGGUGAAGUUAAUAACUUCACCGAUUGACGUUACCCGCAGAAGAAGCACCGGCUAACUCCGUGCCAGCCGCCGCAGUAA